GUGGACAACGGCCUGCACAGCCACAUGCCCAAGUUUUAUCGUGACUUCUGCAAUACAUACUCACCCAUGACUCUCCAUCUGUGAGAAAGACACGCUGCAGUGGUAGGAAACACAAAGAGAAGGUGAAAGCCUGCGAUCAGAAAUGGAUGGAAGAGCAGGCUCAGAGCCUGAUGGACAAAACAACAGCUGCAUUUCAACAAGGAAAGAUACCGCCUACUCCAUCCUCUGCAGCUCCUCCUGUAGGGGCAAUGAUCCCACCUCCUCCCAGUCUCCCGGGUCCUCCUUGCCCUGGUAUGAUGCCAGCACCCCAUAUGGGGGGCCCUCCCAUGAUGCUAAUGAUGGGCCCUUCUCCUCCUGGGAUAAUGCCAGUGGGAGCUGCUCCUGGAAUGAGCCCAUCCUAUGGGAGGCCACAUGCCAAUGAUGCCUGGUCCUCCAAUGAUGAGACCUCCUGCCCGUCCCAUGAUGGUGCCCACUUGGUCAGGAAUGACACGACUGGACAGAUAAGAAUAGAGAGGAGGCUUCUUUAUAUCAGUUUUGUAUUACUUGUACUUCAUCAGAGAUCAUGGUGCUGUGACUCUGGGUGUUUUCUAACAGCAUGACGCGAAAGAUUUGUUCCUCUUUCCUAGUAAAGAGAGAAUAGUUUUGGAGGGGAGAACUGGGACCAAAAAAGUGCAGUUUUCAUUUGUAUUGUGAAAUGUGAAAAUAAAAUU